AACAAAGUACGUCUUGUUAAGAGAAUAAUCGAGUAAUUAUUUCACGGUUAUCGUGCCGCGCAAUGAAACAAGAUAGACUCCAAAUUAAUCAUUCCGGAUACGAGAAGUUCGACGGGGUGAAAAAGCAACGAGAAAUUAAUUGCACGGGGCACUCUCUAUAUCUAUGAAUGGUAAUCACGUCGCGUGGAAAAGUGAAUGCUCAAGGAUGACCUUUGGCGUUCCGCCAGUGUUGCACAUAUCUAUACUAUAUGUCGUAUAUCGGAUCUGAUAUGCGCAGUAUAUCGCAAGUUAUGCGCAUAAACGCUGGCUGUAAACAAUACUCGGACGAGACGAUCGCUCAGGAAGGAAAAAACGCUAAUGGGAAUCGAAUACCGAAGCACGAUGAUUGAAUGACGAUGUUCUCGAAUUAAAUCGGCAUUUGGCGCUCAACAAAGUUGAGCUUUGUAUUAUUAUCUUCUUGCUUCUUCUACUGGGACUAAUGACGGGCGAAUUCAGAAACAGAUCAUUACGUAUGUAUAUACAAGACAAUGUCCAGUUAUAAGACUCAAUAGAUAAGCCCAAUCUUCUUAAUGACGCGACGGUAACCGCGUGGCUGUUUACGUUUAGUUAGACAAUAGCAAUUUGCAUUUCGCUUGAUUUGUCGAAUUAUGAUUUAUGCAAAAGAAAUAUUCCGUAAUCAAUAAAAAUCAACUUAUAUCAAUGAAAUAUUGAUAGAUAUUAACUUGUGCACAGUCGAAAAUCGAAGUUCAUUUUCUCUCUCUCUCUCUCUCUCUCUCUCUCUCUCUCUCUCUCUCUCUCUCUCUCGUAGAAAUUUAUUUUAUUUCUUUUUGUAUCUUGAUUACGUUUUACAUUUCAAGCGAAUACUUCGUGUAUUCUGUCACACGCGUUUCAGAAAUGUUUCCAAAAUGAUAUUUCUCGAUUUAUUUCAAGUAAACUUGCUUCCAUAUGCCAUUGUUCUUUGUGCCAAUAUCAGAACGGUAGUAUUUACGAUCACAGAAAGUAUUUUAUCAUUGCUAAGAUAAAAGUCUAAUUCCUCAAUGAUUCGUGCUGUCAAUCAACGAACGCAAAGAUUGCGCGUUGCAACGCACGACACGACUCGUAACUUCAUCAGAAUCAUUACUUUUCCGAUUAUUACUAUUGAACGAUGAUCAGCUAACAGAACAGCAACGAUCGGAGAGCAGAUUGUUCUCGGAUUGCUGUGGAUUAUCUUGACGCUCGCUAUAUCGUUUUCGCAUUCCGAUCAGGAGCAUGUGAAGCACGGGUACAUUGAGGAAACAUUGUCACAUAUAAAUUCAUCGAGAAAGAGAGAGAGAGAUAGAUAGAUAGAUAGAUAGAUAGA